rnacentral:rRNA from 1 species
UACGAAGGGGGCAAGCGUUGUUCGGAUUUACUGGGCGUAAAGGGCGCGUAGGCGGAUGCGCAAGUCAGAGGUGAAAGCCCUGGGCUCAACCCGGGAAUUGCCUUUGAAACUGCACGUCUUGAGUGCGGGAGAGGGUGGCGGAAUACCCAGUGUAGAGGUGAAAUUCGUAGAUAUUGGGUAGAACACCGGUGGCGAAGGCGGCCACCUGGCCCGCAACUGACGCUGAGGCGCGAAAGCGUGGGGAGCAAAC